CCAAUAGCGUAUAUUAAAGUUGUUGCAGUUAAAAAGCUCGUAGUUGAAUUUCGAGACCGGUCUACUGGUCGUGCUUUUGUACGUACUGGUUUUAUUGGUUUCUCCUUUCUGACGAACUAUAAUGCCAUUAAUUUGGUGUUAUAGGGAAUCAGGACUGUUACUUUGAAAAAAUUAGAGUGUUUAAAGCAGGCUCACGCUUG
rnacentral:rRNA from 1 species